CACGUAGGCACCAAGCGUUGUCCGGAAUUAUUGGGCGUAAAGAGCUCGUAGGCGGUGUGUCGCGUCGGCCGUGAAAACCUGGGGCUCAACUCUGGGCGUGCGGUCGAUACGGGCAUCACUUGAGUUCGGCAGGGGAGACUGGAAUUCCUGGUGUAGCGGUGAAAUGCGCAGAUAUCAGGAGGAACACCGGUGGCGAAGGCGGGUCUCUGGGCCGAUACUGACGCUGAGGAGCGAAAGCAUGGGUAGCGAACAGG
rnacentral:rRNA from 1 species